rnacentral:lncRNA from 1 species
AGUCAGAGUCCACAGCCGAGUAGGACUAGAACUGUGAAGUUGCUGAAGAACAUAGUCUGCAGAGUUGGGUAGAAAGAUAGGAGAACUAGGGUAAAGAAAGAAGCAGGUUGAAAGUCACAGGAACCUUAAAGGGGGCUAGAAUGAUGUAGUCAACUGGCAUAGUGUGAAACUAGCAUGCAUGAAGCCAUGGGGUUAGUCCCUGACAUUGAUGAUGCAUAUGUCAUUCCAGGCUUACAUAGAAAGCCCUCAAGGCUAGCCUGGGCUACAUGAGACCCUGUGUCAAAAACCAAAUCAAAACCUAGACAAAAUACUCUAACUAGUAAUAUGUUAUAAGUAAAAAUAUCCAGGAAGAUUAACGGGACUACUCACAUUUUAGUUCAGGAAUAAAAGAAUCAACAUAUACAAGAUGUUUUUAAAGGAACAAUGAAGAAUAAAAAUUUGCUUCAUGGGAAUACCCAAAUUCACAUUUUUGAUAAGGCAGUCUGGCAUGGUAACAAGCACCUUUACAAGCAAGCCAUCCUGUUCCUGUCACUAGAAGGAUUUAGUUACCCAGUUAUUUAAACCAUUCACUUCUUUUGUUUGGUCCUCAAUGGGCUUAUAAGUGAUAAUGAGUUUGAGGACAGUGUAACCCAAACAAAACUAAACAAGUAGAUAAUACUUAUUCAGCUUAUGGU